UAUGCUGUGGUACAUGUGGUGGUUUUGGUUGGGUGUGUGUUUUGUGUUGUUGUGUGGUGUUGGUUGUUUGUUUGUGUGGUUGUGUUUGUUGUGUUGUGUUGUUGGUUUGUGGUUCCAGUAUCCGUACGGUUACGCCACAGCUGAUGACACGUUACAUGACCACGUAGCAGAUGGCCUGCAGGGCAUGCUGUACUAGUGCUACCAGCACAGUACGUAGCUCUAGCCCUGCUGCUGUGCAUGCUGUACAUGUGAUGUACGUAGCUAUGCUCAUGCCAUGUGCCAUGUACACCAGGACGUCCUGAUAGCAUCCACGCGUCCUGUUGUUGUGCAUGUACCGCUAAGCACUAGCUGGAGAGCUCCAGCUAGUUUUUUUU
rnacentral:rRNA from 1 species